CUGAACGCUGGCGGCCUGCGUUUCACAUGCAAGUCGAACGGUCACAGGUCUUCGGAUGCUGACGAGUGGAACGGGUGAGUAAUACAUCGGAACGUGCCCGAGAGUGGGGGAUAACGAAGCGAAAGCUUUGCUAAUACCGCAUACGAUCUCAGGAUGAAAGCAGGGGACCGCAAGGCCUUGCGCUCACGGAGCGGCCGAUGGCAGAUUAGGUAGUUGGUGGGAUAAAAGCUUACCAAGCCGACGAUCUGUAGCUGGUCUGAGAGGACGACCAGCCACACUGGGACUGAGACACGGCCCAGACUCCUACGGGAGGCGGCAGUGGGGAAUUUUGGACAAUGGGCGCAAGCCUGAUCCAGCCAUGCCGCGUGCAGGAUGAAGGCCUUCGGGUUGUAAACUGCUUUUGUACGGAACGAAAAGACUCUGGUUAAAUACCUGGGGUCCAUGACGGUACCGUAAGAAUAAGCACCGGCUAACUACGUGCCAGCAGCCGCGGUAAUACGUAGGGUGCGAGCGUAAAUCGGAAUUACUGGGCGUAAAGCGUGCGCAAGCGGUUAUGUAAGACAGAUGUGACAU
rnacentral:rRNA from 1 species